rnacentral:tRNA from 1 species
GUGGCAGGCACCCUCAAGGGAUUGCAAAUCCCUUAUCAGUAGUGUUUCAAGUAGCUUAUGGCG